CUUGACCGAGCCCAGGUACAGCGGCCGGCUGGCGGGUCGGCCCUGGCCGUAGGUGGCGAGCAGGGCCUGCGCCUC
rnacentral:antisense_RNA from 1 species